rnacentral:tRNA from 1 species
GGGGUUGUAGCUCAGCGGUAGAGCGCUCGCCUAGCUCGUGUGAGGUCCUGGGUUCGAUCCUCAGCACCACA